rnacentral:rRNA from 1 species
AUUGAACGCUGGCGGCAGGCCUAACACAUGCAAGUCGAGCGAGCGGCGGACGGGUGAGUAAUGUAUGGGGACUGCCCGAUAGAGGGGGAUAACUACUGGAAAAGGUGUCUAAUACCGCACACUGUCGGCUAACCUAUAUGGGAUUAGCUAGUAGGUAAGGUAAUGGCUUACCUAGGCGACGAUCCCUAGCUGGUCUGAGAGGAUGAUCAGCAACACUGGGACGGAGACACGGCCCAGACUCCUACGGAGGCAGCAGGGGGGAAUAUUGCAGAAUGGGCGCAAGCCUGAUGCAGCCAUGCCGCGUGUAUGAAGAAGGCCCUAGGGUUGUAAAGUACUUUCAGUCGGGAGGCGUUACCGACAGAAGAAGCACCGGCUAACUCCGUGCCAGCAGCCGCGGUAAUAC